GGUCUACACACGCUGUGUCUGAUUACACUGCUGCUGGGUGUAUGCAGUCCUGUGUACAAUUUGUUUCCUGCCCAAGGUUUUAGGAAUUAAAAAAGAAGACCCAAGAGAGGAUUUCAAACAAGGUUAAAGUAAGGGUUGCCCUUGCGCCAGGGUGAAGAUACAACAGAAAGUUCUGUGGUUGUCUUCAAAAUAACCGAAAUCUCAGUUCCACACCAGCCAUUUUCUCUUCAUCUAUCCUUCAUAGAACACAGCCAGUUAAUGGCCAUCAGUGGCUUCGGCAUCCUACUGAUAGUAAUAUUUGUAGUGUGUGCACUUUACAAGCGCAUUAGUGAAUGCAUAAAGAAAAAACCCACUGAUGUAGAAAAUACAGGAAAAAGAAAGAUCCGUAAGAAAAAGAGAAAGAAGGAAAAGAAAGAGAAGCACAGAGGGGAGGAAAGUGUUUCAGAGACAGACCCAGAAAAGAUGACAGGGUCUGAAAAACAAAUAAAAGAGAAAGUGGAUAAAGCUGUACAGAAGGUGGAGACAGAAGAUAAAGCUGUACAGACAGAAGAGUGAGAUCCAGAGGAAAAGACAAGAUGGUGGAAACGCCUCACAUUCCUCUGGGAUAAAGAUAAUAAUGUUAUAAAUAAAAUAAUACGGAUCAGAUAUAA